rnacentral:rRNA from 1 species
UACAGAGGUCUCAAGCGUUGUUCGGAUUCAUUGGGCGUAAAGGGUGUGUAGGUGGCGCCGUAAGUCGGGUGUGAAAACUCGGGGCUUAACCCCGGGCCUGCAGUGGGUACGGGCAGACUAGAGUGCGGUAGGGGAGACUGGAAUUCCUGGUGUAGCGGUGAAAUGCGCAGAUAUCAGGAGGAACACCGGUGGCGAAGGCGGGUCUCUGGGCCGUAACUGACGCUGAGGAGCGAAAGCAUGGGGAGCGAACAGG